rnacentral:rRNA from 1 species
CGGAUUGUAGUCUGCAACCCGACUACAUGAAGCUGGAAUCGCUAGUAAUCGCGGAUCAGAAUGCCGCGGUGAAUACGUUCCCGGGUCUUGUACACACCGCCCGUCACACCAUGGGAGUCGGAAAUGCCCGAAGUCUGUGACCCAACCUACGGGAGGGAGCAGCCGAAGGCAGGUCGGAUGACUGGGGUGAAGUCGUAACAAGGUAGC